rnacentral:rRNA from 1 species
UACGGAGGGUGCAAGCGUUAUCCAGAUUCACUGGGUUUAAAGGGUGCGUAGGUGGGUUGGUAAGUCAGUGGUGAAAUCUCCGAGCUUAACUUGGAAACUGCCAUUGAUACUAUCAGUCUUGAAUAUUGUGGAGGUCAGCGGAAUAUGUCAUGUAGCGGUGAAAUGCUUAGAUAUGACAUAGAACACCAAUUGCGAAGGCAGCUGGCUACACAUAUAUUGACACUGAGGCACGAAAGCGUGGGGAUCAAACAGG